AUCUACUCAACAGGAGUGCAGUGGUUCACAGAGUUAGGACGCCGAGCUGAUGAUUGGCUGGCUCACGUUCAAGACCUGGUUGCUGCCCUGUAUCGGGGUGAGUUCCUGUCACUCGCUGCAGCUCCUGCUGGCCCAGCAGUUCAAAAGCAGGUGACUCAAUUUUAAGAUGGCCGACUUCUGCUUCAGAAAAGGGAAAAAAGGUGGAGAAAAGGUGGAGAAAACAUGAAGGAAAUGUGAAGGCCCAACCCUUUUCCAAGACUAUGAUUAAAACUGACAUGAGACAUCAAGUCAGACUGUUGGGCAGACUCCAGGAAAACCUUCUCCAGUCAUGCCAGCUCAGGUUCAUUUCAUCAGAGGGACCAGGAGCUGAACCUAGACUGGUUUAAGUGUCCAUCUAAGAAGUAUCUAACCCAGUACACUCCAAAAGUCACACUUACGUCGCUGAGUCUCUCUCUCGAGCUGCUCCGAUGAAAGCCUUUUGAUUCUCCGCUUGCACUUUCACUGUCACUGUCUCGGCAGCUGUUUUGGCCUGGAUUAAGCUGCAGAACAAAAGUAAGAAAUAAAAGUUUACAGUCUGUCUAAGAAAGACAUUUAAAGGCAUCCCUUCUAGCCUGGCAAUAAAGCACAAUGGUCGCGCUAUCAAACCGUCU